UACAGAGGGGCAAGCGUUAUUCGGAAUUAUUGGGCGUAAAGGGCGCGUAGGCGGCCGUGCAAGUGGAAGGUGAAAUCCCUCGGCUCAACCGAGGAACUGCCUUUCAAACUGCAUGGCUUGAGUCCGGGAGAGGUGAGUGGAAUUCCCAGUGUAGCGGUGAAAUGCGUAGAUAUUGGGAGGAACACCAGUGGCGAAGGCGGCUCACUGGACCGGUAUUGACGCUGAGGUGCGAAAGCGUGGGGAGCAAACAGG
rnacentral:rRNA from 1 species